UUUUUACGGAGAGUUUGAUCCUGGCUCAGGACGAACGCUGGCGGCGUGCCUAACACAAGCAAGUCGAACGGUCUUAGGAGCAAGAAGCUUGCUUCAAGCUCUAAAAGACAGUGGCGGACGGGUGAGUAACGCGUGAAC
rnacentral:rRNA from 1 species